GGCCUGGUGGUUCAGUUGGUUAGAAUGCCGCCCUGUCACGGCGGAGGUCGUGGGUUCGAGUCCCAUCCAGGUCGCCA
rnacentral:tRNA from 1 species